CAGAGGUCCCAAGCGUUGUUCGGAUUCACUGGGCGUAAAGGGUGCGUAGGUGGUGAGGUAAGUCGGAUGUGAAAUCUCCGAGCUCAACUCGGAAAUGGCAUUGGAAACUACCUUGCUCGAGGGUUGAGGGGGGACUGGAAUGCUUGGUGUAGCAGUGAAAUGCGUAGAUAUCAAGCGGAACACCAGUGGCGAAGGCGAGUCCCUGGACAACUCCUGACACUGAGGCACGAAAGCUAGGGGAGCAAACAGGAUUAGAUACCCUGGUAGUCCUAGCCGUAAACGGUGCAUGUUUGCUGUAAAAGGAAUCGACCCCUUUUGUGGCGUAGCCAACGCGUUAAACAUGCCGCCUGGGAAGUACGGUCGCAAGAUUA
rnacentral:rRNA from 1 species